UACGGGGGGAGCAAGCGUUGUUCGGAUUUACUGGGCGUAAAGGGCGGGUAGGCGGCCACCGCAAGUCAGUUGUGAAAUCUCCGGGCUUAACCCGGAAAGGUCAACUGAUACUGCGGGGCUAGAGUGCAGAAGGGGCAACUGGAAUUCUCGGUGUAGCGGUGAAAUGCGUAGAGAUCGGGAGGAACAUCAGUUGCGAAGGCGGCUCUCUGGACCAGCACUGACACUGAGGCACGAAAGCGUGGGGAGCAAACAGG
rnacentral:rRNA from 1 species